CCGAAAAGAUCGAAUGAGGAGACUCUUCGUCAGCGGAGUGGCUCUUCAGGCGCCAGCGAUGGAGAUGGAUUUAUUCGUUUUCACGCGACCGCUGUGAUUAUGUCCGGCUACGUCGGCGUGCACUUCUCCUCUAGAAGAACGUCGCGCCCCGUUGGGUGUCGGCUGGAGCCCCAAGAUCGUUGACUGCUUUGUUUGUUUGGGAACCAAUGGAGGCGGUUGGUUUUUUUCCUGGCCGGCUGCCCGGCGGUACCCCCAAGGUAUCGAACCGCCCUUUGAAUGCGUUUCGGCUUGUUGCAAACCCGGCCCUUUCAUCCUGGAGGUGCGGGCCGAGGGCCGUUCCCGGGGGUGGUUGGGUGUUGGUUGACGAUUUUCCCGAACUGGCUUAAAAAAUUUUUGUAAAAACGAUACCGGUCGGCGACGCUAUUGCUUUGGGUACUUUCAGGACCCGUCUUGAAACACGGACCAAGGAGUCUAACAUGUGCGCGAGUCAUUGGGACGUUGAAACCUAAAGGCGCAUUGAAAGAAAAGAUCAACCUAGCGUUGAUUGAGGGAGGAUGGGCGACGUUUAGAUGUCGCUUCGCACUCCCGGGGUGUCUCUUAAAGUCAUCGCGACUUGAGGCGCACCCAGAGCGUACACGUUGGGACCCGAAAGAUGGUGAACUAUGCCUGGUCAGGAUGAAGUCAGGGGAAACCCUGAUGGAGGUCCGCAUCGGAUCUGACGUGCAAAUCGAUCGUCGGAACUGGGGAUAGGGGCGAAAGAAUAAUCCA
rnacentral:rRNA from 1 species